GCUAUAAGAACACACCGGACCGGCCCCGGCGGCCCGGGGCUCUCAACUCCAAUCUCCAACUCCAUAGGCUGACCGAUCGAGAGCGAGCGUCAUGGACCAGCGUCUGUUCUUCCUCAUGCUCCUCGCGGGCGCGUCGUGCGUCAACGUCGUCGGCGUGGCCGGAGAAGAAGCGCUGUGGCUCGUCGCCGCCGUCGCGCUGGGUGCGGGAGUGCUCCACCCGCGCCGCGGCCCCGACCCCGAGUGAUUCGCAACACCAACGGCGUCUUCUCCGGCGCCCCCGUACGUCUGCACGUCACCGUCACCGUCAACGCCGCCACCGCCAGUUGGCUAAUUAUGAAGGCAGCCGUCGACGCCGCCGCCAUGAACGUCAAAUCCAUCGAGGAUUCGGGACGGGCGGACCCUGCCGUACCUCAGCGUGGAACGAUACGCUGCAUCGAUCGAUCGAUUUCCAAUCCUAGCUCCCUUUGAUUUGGAUUUGGAUGGAAUACUCACUCGAUCUACCCGCAGUAGCUUUGUUUCUUUAUGAUUAGGAGUGUAUUACAUUAGUUACAUGUUUGUCUAGUCAUUUCUGUUGUUCCGUUUUGCAGGAAAUUAAAGCAUGCCGGAGGAGACUGUGCUGCUCCACCGCCUCCCUCCCUUCCUCCGUGAUUAUAUAUUCCAACCACUCUCCGUACUCUCGUCAUGAUUCAUGCAUGUUGGUUACCAACACCAACUCCAAACAUUUCCUCCUCUUCACUUUGACUGCCAAUGCAACUAAUUGUAUAUCCACUCCUUAACCUUGGCUGCCCAAUCCCUAUCUGCGUGAGUGAUAGUCAUCCGGUCCAAAAGUUCUUCCAACAAAACGACAGGUCAAGCAGUUCGCCGGUGCUCGCCCUAACCGAACGGUGACAACUAGCAGAGAACUAGUCAUGGCCUCCCUCCACUGUCCAUCUACUCUACUUGCAUUUGUAUUUUUUGAAUUCAAUGCCUAUUCCAAAUCUAAAGCUACUAUUGGUAUUUUUUUAAAAAAAAAUAUAGACUGCUUAUUAAUUGUAUUGGUGUUUGCUCGGCAACAGAGCUUGUAUAUAUUGUUUUAUAUAUGUGGAACAAUAAAUUCAUCACUGUUGGCCAUCGCUUU